GGACAAUGGGCGCAAGCCUGAUCCAGCAAUGCCGCGUGAGUGAAGAAGGCCUUCGGGUUGUAAAGCUCUUUUAUCAGGGAAGAAAAAGGACUUGACUAGUACCCGAUGCCCCUGACGGUACCUGGCCAAUAAGCACCGGCUAACUUCGUGCCAGCAGCCGCGGUAAUA
rnacentral:rRNA from 1 species